rnacentral:tRNA from 1 species
GUCUUGAACAGCUUAACCGGUAGAGCCUUUGGCGCGUCACCAAAUGGUCUGGGUUCGAGUCUCGGUCUGGGCU